CCCUACACGAAAACACAAGCACUUCUGCCGUGUGCAGUACGUGCAGGCGUGCACGCGCACACAAGUUCACGGCUCUGAGGUCCGGUGGCCACGUGUGGCCUUCAGCACUGGAAACUAGCUUAGCUGAGGGGUUUGAACUCAGGACCUUCCUCUUGCAAGGCAGGCGACAGAACCACUGAGCUAAAUCCCCGGCCCCAAUUCUGAUUAAUUUUAACAAUCCUGAUUAAUGUGAAAAUGGUGGUUUUUUUGGUUUUUUGUUUUGUUUUUUUUUGGUACAGGGGAUCGAACUCCGGUCCUUGCGCUGGAAACCACUGAGGGUCUUGCUGGCCUGGAAAGUGAAACCCUUCCUCCUCAGCCUCCUGCGCAGCCCAGCUAUGGAAUUCCAAGACAUAAUUCCAUUUUGUCCUCCGCUCCCAACUGAGACCUCAAUGAUCCGGUGAUGCUGUGAUUCUCCAGGACAGGAAACAUCCUGGGAGCUGCAAACAUCCUGGGAGAACAAACAUCUACUCAGUUCCUCCUUGAUCUUGGACUGUUACACCUUGUUUACCCAGGAUGUACUGAACUCUCUGCGAGUCAUUUGUUACAUUUGUUUCUCCCGAUGUACUGAGUACUGAAUAAAAGGUGCAGUAAGCUGGGGGCUUUCGUCUUUGCCCCCCAGAGCAGCACUGAUCAGACCCAAAGCUCAGCUUCUUCUCAGUCUCAUUUUUCUACCUUUUCUGUAAUUUGCCUUGUGCUGCUGUGGCUCGCAGGAGACUAGGACUUAACUGCAGAGGUUCUG
rnacentral:lncRNA from 1 species